GUUCAAUAUUUGAACUCUGUUUGUGAUUGGUUUAAAUUUAUGUGAAUCUUUUCAUUGGUUAGCGACGCUCAUCGGUUAACCAAUGAAAAGACUCACAUAAAUUUAGACCAAUCACAUACAGAGUUCAAAUAUUGAAC
rnacentral:miRNA from 1 species